GCUCCAAUAGCGUAUAUUAAAGUUGUUGCAGUUAAAAAGCUCGUAGUUGGACCUUAGGCAAGGCCGACUGGUCGGUCGCAAGACCGCACUGGUUGUGCUGCGCCUCACCUUCGGGGAGCCGUGCCGCAAGGCGCGGGGAUCCGAGCUUUACUUUGAAGAAAUUAGAGUGUUCAAAGCAGGCUUACGCUUGAAUACAUUAG
rnacentral:rRNA from 1 species